GCGGCUCGUCGUUCCCUCUUCCUAUGCAUAUACUUCUUCGAGGGUCUGGCCUGAAGAGGUGUAGGGCAUGGGAAAAGGGGGCGGCGAGGGCCCCUCC
rnacentral:pre_miRNA from 1 species